rnacentral:rRNA from 1 species
UACGAAGGGGGCUAGCGUUGUUCGGAUUUACUGGGCGUAAAGCGCGUGUAGGCGGGUCGUUAAGUUGGGGGGGAAAUCCCGAGGCUCAACCUCGGAACUGCCCUCAAAACUGGCGACCUGGACUCAAGCAGAGGCAAGUGGAAUUGCGAGUGUAGAGGUGAAAUUCGUAGAUAUUCGCAGGAACACCAGUGGCGAAGGCGACUUGCUGGGCUUGUAGUGACGCUGAGACGCGAAAGCGUGUGGAGCAAACAGG